rnacentral:rRNA from 1 species
GACGAACGCUGGCGGCGUGCUUAACACAUGCAAGUCGAACGAAGAGCGAUGGAAGCUUGCUUCUAUCAAUCUUAGUGGCGAACGGGUGAGUAACGCGUAAUCAACCUGCCCUUCAGAGGGGGACAACAGUUGGAAACGACUGCUAAUACCGCAUACGAUCUAACCUCGGCAUCGAGGAUGGAUGAAAGGUGGCCUCUAUGUAUAAGCUAUCACUGAAGGAGGGGAUUGCGUCUGAUUAGCUAGUUGGAGGGGUAACGGCCCACCAAGGCGAUGAUCAGUAGCCGGUCUGAGAGGAUGAACGGCCACAUUGGGACUGAGACACGGCCCAGACUCCUACGGGAGGCAGCAGUGGGGAAUCUUCCGCAAUGGACGAAAGUCUGACGGAGCAACGCCGCGUGAGUGAUGACGGCCUUCGGGUUGUAAAGCUCUGUUAAUCGGGGCGAAAGGCCUUCUUGCGAA